GGUCCCAUAGUUCAAGGGAUAGAACGGAAGUUUCCUAAACUUUAAAUCCAGGUUCGAUUCCUGGUGGGACCACCA
rnacentral:tRNA from 1 species